rnacentral:rRNA from 1 species
GAUGAACGCCGGCGGCGUGCCUAAUACAUGCAAGUAGAACGCUGAAGCUUGGUGCUUGCACCGAGCGGAUGAGUUGCGAACGGGUGAGUAACGCGUAGGUAACCUGCCUCUUAGCGGGGGAUAACUAUUGGAAACGAUAGCUAAUACCGCAUAAAAGUCGAUAUCGCAUGAUAUUGAUUUGAAAGGUGCAAUUGCAUCACUAAGAGAUGGACCUGCGUUGUAUUAGCUAGUUGGUGAGGUAACGGCUCACCAAGGCGACGAUACAUAGCCGACCUGAGAGGGUGAUCGGCCACACUGGGACUGAGACACGGCCCAGACUCCUACGGGAGGCAGCAGUAGGGAAUCUUCGGCAAUGGGGGCAACCCUGACCGAGCAACGCCGCGUGAGUGAAGAAGGUUUUCGGAUCGUAAAGCUCUGUUGUAAGAGAAGAACGAGUGUGAGAGUGGAAAGUUCACACUGUGACGGUAACUUACCAGAAAGGGACGGCUAACUACGUGCCAGCAGCCGCGGUAAUACGUAGGUCCCGAGCGUUAUCCGGAUUUAUUGGGCGUAAAGCGAGCGCAGGCGGUUAGAUAAGUCUGAAGUUAAAGGCUGUGGCUUAACCAUAGUACGCUUUGGAAACUGUUUAACUUGAGUGCAGAAGGGGAGAGUGGAAUUCCAUGUGUAGCGGUGAAAUGCGUAGAUAUAUGGAGGAACACCGGUGGCGAAAGCGGCUCUCUGGUCUGUAACUGACGCUGAGGCUCGAAAGCGUGGGGAGCAAACAGG